UACGUAGGGUCCGAGCGUUGUCCGGAUUUAUUGGGCGUAAAGAGCUCGUAGGCGGCUUGCUAAGUCAGGUGUGAAACCUCCAGGCUCAACCUGGAGCCGCCACCUGAUACUGGUAUGGCUAGAGUCCGGUAGGGGACCACGGAAUUCCUGGUGUAGCGGUGAAAUGCGCAGAUAUCAGGAGGAACACCGGUGGCGAAGGCGGAUCUCUGGGCCGAUACUGACGCUGAGGAGCGAAAGCGUGGGGAGCGAACAGG
rnacentral:rRNA from 1 species